rnacentral:rRNA from 1 species
CCUAGUACGAGAGGACCGGAGUGGACGCAUCACUGGUGUUCGGGUUGUCAUGCCAAUGGCACUGCCCGGUAGCUAAAUGCGGAAGAGAUAAGUGCUGAAAGCAUCUAAGCACGAAACUUGCCCCGAGAUGAGUUCUCCCUGACUCCUUGAGAGUCCUGAAGGAACGUUGAAGACGACGACGUUGAUAGGCCGGGUGUGUAAGCGCAGCGAUGCGUUGAGCUAACCGGUACUAAUGAACCGUGAGGCUUAACCUUACAACGCCGAAGCUGUU